rnacentral:rRNA from 1 species
UACAGAGGGUGCAAGCGUUGUUCGGAAUUAUUGGGCGUAAAGGGCGCGUAGGCGGCAUCGCAAGUGGAAUGUGAAAUCCCUCGGCUUAACCGAGGAACUGCCCUCCAAACUGCGUUGCUUGAGGCCGGGAGAGGUGAGUGGAAUUCCGAGUGUAGAGGUGAAAUUCGUAGAUAUUCGGAAGAACACCAGUGGCGAAGGCGACUUACUGGACACAUAUUGACGCUGAGGUGCGAAAGCGUGGGGAGCGAACAGG